CCUACGGGAGGCAGCAGUGGGGAAUAUUGCACAAUGGGGGAAACCCUGAUGUAGCGACGCCGCGUGAGGGAAGAAGUAAUUCGUAAUGGAACGCUCUAUCAGCAGGGAAGAAAAUGACGGUACCUGAGUAAGAAGCCCCGUCUAACUACGUGCCAGCAGCCGCGGUACUACGUAGGGGGCAAGCGUUAUCCGGAUUUACUGGGUGUAAAGGGAGCGUAGACGGCAGUGCAAGUCUGGAGUGAAAGGCGGAGGCUCAACCCCCGGACUGCUCUGGAAACUGUGCGGCUUGAGUGCAGGAGAGGUAAGUGGAAUGCCUGGUGUAGCGGUGAAAUGCGUAGAUAUUAGGCGGAACACCAGUGGCGAAGGCGGCUUACUGGACUGUAACUGACGUUGAGGCUCGAAAGCGUGGGGAGCAAACAGGAUUAGAUACCCCUGUAGUC
rnacentral:rRNA from 1 species